AGGGUUUGAUUAUGGCUCAGAACGUACGCUGGCGGCACGCCUAACACAUGCAAGUCGAACGAAGUAGCAAUACUUAGUGGCAGACGGGUGAGUAACAUGUAGGUAUCUGCCCUUUGGCCUGGAAUAACACGAGGAAACUUGUGCUAAUACCGGAUAAGUCUUUACAGAGAAAGCUUUAUGCACCAUUGGAUGAGCCUGCACUUGAUUAGUUUGUUGGUGGGGUAAUGGCCUACCAAGACUGUGAUCAAUAGCUGAUUUGAGAGGAUGAUCAGCCACAUUGGGACUGAGACACGGCCCAAACUCCUACGGGAGGCAGCAGUGGGGAAUCUUGCACAAUGGAGGAAACUCUGAUGCAGCGAUGCCGCGUGAGUGAAGAAGGCCUUUGGGUUGUAAAGCUCUUUCGUCGGGGAAGAAAAUGACUGUACCCGAAUAAGAAGGUCCGGCUAACUUCGUGCCAGCAGCCGCGGUAAUACGAAGGGACCUAGCGUAGUUCGGAAUUACUGGGCUUAAAGAGUUCGUAGGUGGUUGAAAAAGUUGGUGGUGAAAUCCCAGAGCUUAACUCUGGAACUGCCAUCAAAACUUUUCAGCUAGAGUAUGAUAGAGGAAAGCAGAAUUUCUAGUGUAGAGGUGAAAUUCGUAGAUAUUAGAAAGAAUACCAAUUGCGAAGGCAGCUUUCUGGAUCAUUACUGACACUGAGGAACGAAAGCAUGGGUAGCGAAGAGGAUUAGAUACCCUCGUAGUCCAUGCCGUAAACGAUGUGUGUUAGACGUUGGAAAUUUAUUUUCAGUGUCGCAGCGAAAGCGAUAAACACACCGCCUGGGGAGUACGACCGCAAGGUUAAAACUCAAAUGAAUUGACGGGGACCCGCACAAGUAGUGGAGCAUGUGGUUUAAUUCGAAGAUACGCGCAGAACCUUACCAACACUUGACAUGUUCGUCGCGACUUUAAGAGAUUAGAGUUUUCGGUUCGGCCGGACGAAACACAGGUGCUGCAUGGCUGUCGUCAGCUCGUGUCGUGAGAUGUUGGGUUAAGUCCCGCAACGAGCGCAACCCUCACUUUUAGUUGCCAUCAUUAAGUUGGGCACUCUGAAAGAACUGCCAGUGAUAAGCUGGAGGAAGGUGGGGAUGACGUCAAGUCCUCAUGGCCCUUACGUGUUGGGCUACACACGUGCUACAAUGGUAUCUACAACAGGAAGCAAGACGGCGACGUUAAGCAAAUCCUUAAAAGAUACCUCAGUUCGGAUUGCACUCUGCAACUCGAGUGCAUGAAGCUGGAAUUACUAGUAAUCGUGGAUCAGCGUGCCACGGUGAAUGCGUUCCCGGGUCUUGUACACACCGCCCGUCACACCAUGGGAGUUGGUUCUACCUUAAGGCAAGGUUUCAAACCCUUGACCACGGUAUAGUCAGCGACUGGGGUGAAGUCGUAACAAGGUAACCA
rnacentral:rRNA from 1 species